GAUUCAAUUUAUUGUACGAGGUAGCUUUAAUGUGAAAACAGAAAAUGUCGUCAGAUUUACAUGAGGCUUAGAGUUGGAGUGGUUAGCCAAAUGAAUGUCAUCCAGCAGGGUUCACCCAGUCACCGUUAGCAAGAGCAAGUUAAAUCAGGUACACUUCAAGUAAUUUGUUAAAUAAUUCUUAAAACAUUUAUGGAUUGUAAUUCUGAAAAUCAGUUUAUAAGUUUCACUCAGGCAUGAAUCAGGAAAUCUUUUAAAAUCAAAAAUGAGUGACUAGAGUGAGUACAGGAGAGUUACCAGGGUGGUGGGCUCCAAUCUGAAGAAAGGAUGCCUGGCAUCUUCUCAGAAAAGUCUCAGCACGUUAACGAAGGCCUUGAAGAAAUCUGGAGCGGCUUCCUGAAUGUCUACUGGCUGUUUGAGUCGUUAAGAUCUAAAGCCAAACUGCCAAAACCUGUUAUCUGUGAGGAUUUGGUUUUUUCUGUGUGUUUCUUCCUUGUUUCCCCCGAUUGUCUCCUUUUGUAUUUAAAGGCCGCAAUUAUUUUAUAAUUUGGAAGCAAAGCAGUGUCCGAUUGGAAUUUAGUAAAAUUCUGUUUGAUGUUGUACACAAAUUGUCCUGCUGAGGAGAAUGUUGUGAUCAGAGGGAUCCUAGGGGAUGAAUCGGGGGGUCUGGACUCAAGGAAGUUUUUCCUGCCUGCUCUCAGGAAAGAUCGGGAAUAUCCUCUCUUACAAAGAGCAGAAAACAGCGUUCUAGUUGCCUCCUCAAAGUCUGUUUUCUGUGUACAAAUCCUGUGAAAUCUGAGGAGUUGUGAUUUGACUAGGCCCGCAUAAGUGUGCCUUGGAUGGUAACUAGUCUUGAAUAGCAGAGCAUGUGUGUCUGUGGGUUUAAAGAAAACUUUAAUGUCCAAUUUAUGUGUUGUGUCAAAAUCUUGUCCCUUGUAUGUGGUGGUGUCCAGAAAAUCGACCGCUUUAACGCUGGUAGUGGACUUUACAGUAAUAGAUGGGUUAUGUGUAUUCAAGUGCUGGAGGAAUUCCUGGAAUUCAGCUUCAGAAUGGGUCCAGACCCCCCAGAUGUCAUCUAGGUACCUGUAGUAAUGCAGAGGUGCCUUCCUGCAUGUACUGAGAGCACCAGCCUCCCACUCAGCCAUGAAAAUAUUUGCAUAUGCCGGUGCAAAUCUUUUGCCCAUGGCUGUGCCCUUAAUUUGGAGGAAAAAUUGGCCAUCAAAAACAAAGUCAUUUCUUUUUAAGUUAAUUUCCAAUAGUUGAAUGAGCUCACGAUCUGGCCUCCUCGAAUCUGGGUAUUUGAGAAAUAUGUUUUUAAUACAACUAAUUCCUUCAUCUAUGUCAAUAUUGGUGUACAAACUGUCGAUGUCAAUUGUAAAUAAAAUAGAGUCCUGAGGUAGAGAGAUUAAUUUAAUUUUUUCUACAAAAUCGUAGGUGUCUUUAAUGUAACUUUGGUGUCUAAUUGAAAGAGGAUAUAAAUAAUGAUCGAUAAACUCUGCUGUGUAGUAGGUCUCACUGCCGCAGUCGGAGACAAUGGGCCUGCCGGGAGGGAUUUCAUGCGGUUUGCUCCAUUUUUCAGGCUCCUUGUGGAUUUUAGGGAGCAGAUAAAACCUCCUGGCUCUGGGCUCAGAAGAGCCACGCAGGGAGAAGACAGCAGCCAGGUGUGGCAGAACGGAGAAGCCUGCGAUCAUCAGGUGAAGGAAGGCAGACUGAUCGGGUGGCUUGGAUCGUCUCCGCAGCAGAAACAGCCAUCAGUGGAAAACAACAUGUUGGAUUGACAGCGGGACAGAGGAGGAACUCUGCCCUCAUCUGGCUGCAGCACAGCGGCGAGCGAGGCACACGGAGUGGACCGCAGCAGGUUCCAGAUGUGGUGGAGGUGAACCAAAGGGUUCCUCCUCCGGGUUCUGGCUGCCCUGAUUCCAACUGGAGACCAAGUUUACUUUGGACUGAGGACAUUUUUUUUAACUAUUUUACAGAUUCUAGCUAAAGAGAACAGAACUUUUUAUUCCUUUGGUGU